AUCGCUUCUUGGCUAAGAUCAAAUGUAGUAUCUGUUCUUAUCAGUUUAAAAUUGACGAGUGCAUGCUUUUAUCAAUUUACUAGAAAUACAGAACUAUGCAUUCAUAAGAAGUGGAUUUUGCAUUCAGUAAAUGAUACCUCAACUAAG
rnacentral:snRNA from 1 species